rnacentral:rRNA from 1 species
GGCUGCAACUCGCCUGCAUGAAGUCGGAAUUGCUAGUAAUCGCAGAUCAGCAUGCUGUGGUGAAUACGUUCCCGGGCCUUGUACACACCGCCCGUCACACCAUGGGAGUCGGUAACACCCAAAGUUGGUAGUCUAACCGCAAGGAGGACGCCGCCUAAGGUGGGAUUGAUGACUGGGGUGAAGUCGUAACAAGGUACC